GACCUCUUUUCUCUUUCCACGUGGAUCUUCCCUGCAAGAACUUUCACCUCUUAUCCAUUCCUUUGCUAUGGUGGGCCUGGGAGAGCAUGGCUCCAAGGACCUGCACCAGCCUAGCAGCGGGCCUCUUUCCUCCCCAGCCCCGGCUGAAUCCCUGAAGGACCCAGUUGGGAUGGCAUCCCUGCGCAUGGCGCUAUCCCCGCCGCCACCCCAGGGAUUUGGAGCAAGACGUACUUGGAUGAAGGAGCCACCUCUGGCUGGCAUCAGGCAAGUGGGUGCUCCGAUCAAACCCAGGCCAAGCUUACCUGGCGCCCUUCACGGCCUGCACUGCCUGCACCACUUGAUGUGACUGAACAAAAACACUCCUCAGAGCCACAGAGAACCCGCUCAGGGAAAUUCUGAACAGAAAAACAGCCUGAAGGAAAAGGAUUAAGGAAGUCUCCUCCUCUCUGCCCAACAGUAUUCUGGUCCAGACUGUAACCUAUGGCAACUGCUUUUUAUUUUAAAAGAUGCAGAAUGCUAAAUGAAAUAAAAUAAAUGGGGUCUGAUCCACAGUUAUUUCAUUUA